GACCGGGUCCUGUGCAACAGUGAACUGUGAACCGAGUCAGGGCCGGAAGGCAGCAGCUCUCAGCAGACUCCUCUGUGUGCCGCAGAUAACCUGGUCGCC
rnacentral:SRP_RNA from 1 species